rnacentral:rRNA from 1 species
UACGUAGGCAUCAAGCGUUGUUCGGAAUUACUGGGCGUAAAGAGUGUGUAGGCGGUGCUCUAAGUCUGUUGUGAAAUCUCCCGGCUUAACCGGGAGGGUGCGGCGGAAACUGGAGUGCUUGAGGGUGGGAGAGGUAAGCGGAAUUCCUGGUGUAGCGGUGAAAUGCGUAGAUAUCAGGAGGAACACCGGUGGCGAAGGCGGGUCUCUGGGCCGAUACUGACGCUGAGGAGCGAAAGCGUGGGGAGCAAACAGG